GAUGAAUAACGUAGCGAAAUGCGAUAAGUAAUGCGAAUUGCAGAAUUCAGUGAGUCAUCGAAUCUUUGAACGCACAUUGCGCCCUGUGGUAUUCCGCAGGGCAUGCCUGUUCGAGCGUCAUUUCAACCCUCAAGCUCUGCUUGGUGUUGGGCCACGCCCUCGCGGCCGGCCCCAAAGCCAGUGGCGGCGCCGUCCGGCUCUAAGCGUAGUACAUCUCUCGCUCUAGGGCCCGGCGGCUGCCUGCCAGAACCCCAAACUCUUAUGGUUGACCUCGGAUCAGGUAGGGAUACCCGCUGAACUUAAGCAUAUCAAUAAGCGGAGGA
rnacentral:misc_RNA from 1 species